rnacentral:rRNA from 1 species
CACGUAGGGUGCGAGCGUUGUCCGGAAUUAUUGGGCGUAAAGAGCUCGUAGGCGGUGUGUCGCGUCGGCCGUGAAAACCUGCAGCUUAACUGUGGGCUUGCGGUCGAUACGGGCAUCACUGGAGUUCGGCAGGGGAGACUGGAAUUCCUGGUGUAGCGGUGAAAUGCGCAGAUAUCAGGAGGAACACCGGUGGCGAAGGCGGGUCUCUGGGCCGGAUACUG